CCUACGGGAGGCAGCAGUGAGGAAUAUUGGUCAAUGGGCGUAAGCCUGAACCAGCCAAGUCGCGUGAGGGAUGAAGGAUCUAUGGAUCGUAACCUUCUUUUAUAUGGGAAUAAAGUGCGGGACGUGUCCCGUUUUGUAUGUACCUUAUGAAUAAGCAUCGGCUAACUCCGUGCCAGCAGCCGCGGUAAUACGGAGGAUCCGAGCGUUAUCCGGAUUUAUUGGGUUUAAAGGGUGCGUAGGAGGUCUUUUAAGUCAGCGGUGAAAGUUUUUGGCUCAACCAUAGAAUUGCCGUUGAAACUGGGAGGCGUGAGUAUAUUUGAGGGAGGCGGAAUGCGGGGUGGAGCGGUGAAAUGCUUAGAUAUCACGCAGAACCCCGAUUGGGAAGGCAGCCUGACAAGCCAUGACUGACGCUGAUGCACGAAAGCGUGGGGAUCAAACAGGAUUAGAUACCCGAGUAGGC
rnacentral:rRNA from 1 species